UCCUUGGCUGGGUACCUCUUUUUAACACUGUGCAAAUAAUAACUCUUGGGUAGACUAGGGGCAUGCAAGGCUGUCUUGCAUGGACCCCAUUAUGUAAUUUAAGGUUUGGGCAUCCGCCAUCUAUUACAUCUCUCUAUCUUGUCCAUGAUGUUGCAAUCAAUAUAAAUAAGCUUCAAGGGCCCUUGGAUAUAGGUAAAUUGUGCCAGCAUAAAUCAAUGAGAUGUUGAAAAGCUUUAUGUCACAUAAUCUAGUACUCUGUAAUUCUAUUUUUCUCAUUACCAGAACCUCCCACAGACUCCAGGACUUGGUUUAGAAAUCUCCCUGCCUUCCCUAACUUAGCUCAUAAUGAUCUCAUCCAAACAUUUGGACUUCUCAGAAAAGACAACUGAACAAUGGGAACUAUGGGGGCUGUGCCAUUCUCACUAUUUGACUAUAUCUGGACUACAUGCAGUGUGACAGAAUAUGGUCAAGACUCUCAAAGUCAUCUCUGGACCACCAACAUCAGAAUCAAGUGUUCGUCAGCAAUGUAGAUGCCCUGUUAGACCUGUUCCUCAUUCAGGAUUUCUUCAGAUCCUCAGGCCUCCAGCUAUAGAAAUACGACUUCUGUUUGUAAAAGAUAUUGAACCUGAAGUAGUGACUGGUGGAGACUGAAUCCAGAACUUUCCCCCAGGAUGAACCCAUCAUCCUGAACACAGCUAGAGCACAAGUGAGCAGUUUUCAUUCACCAAACUUGGUGUGACUCAAAGUUUUGCCAAGGCACAGUGCUUACCCCUUCCCUAACACCUUCUAUCAAUUUGAUUCCCCAAAAUCUGGGGAAAGAAAAAGAAGGAGGAAUUAAAGAAUGAGAUAAAUGGUUUCUCUCAUUUAAGAAAACAGACUGUGAGCUCACUGUGUAUCAUAAGUACAUGUUGGCAGGGACCCAUGUAGACCAUGACUCUGUCAACAUGUGACUUGCAGGGAUCUACCUGGCUCAGCUGCCCCACCAAGGUCUCCUGAUUACCUCACUGUCUUCAGAUCACUCGCCUGGGGAUGUUGUCUUAACUAUUAAAACCCCUGGAAAAGGCCAGCAGCUUGCGGAAUACAUGAUAUUACCUCAUUAUUCACAUGGGAUAGUCCAGAGGCUCCUGCAAUUUCCCAAAAUAUCAUUAUGAUGCAACUUUCACCCCAUAAAAUGUGACAAAGCAUAACUCAAAAUUUAUGUGAUCUUUUGUUGGCCC
rnacentral:lncRNA from 1 species